UCCCUACGGGGGGCAGCAGUGGGGAAUAUUGCACAAUGGGGGAAACCCUGAUGCAGCGACGCCGCGUGAGCGAAGAAGUAUUUCGGUAUGUAAAGCUCUAUCAGCAGGGAAGAAAAAUGACGGUACCUGAGUAAGAAGCACCGGCUAAAUACGUGCCAGCAGCCGCGGUAAUACGUAUGGUGCAAGCGUUAUCCGGAUUUACUGGGUGUAAAGGGAGCGCAGGCGGUGCGGCAAGUCUGAUGUGAAAGCCCGGGGCUCAACCCCGGGACUGCAUUGGAAACUGGGAGACUUGAGUGCAGAAAAGG
rnacentral:rRNA from 1 species